rnacentral:rRNA from 1 species
UGGGGAAUUUUCCGCAAUGGGCGAAAGCCUGACGGAGCAAGACCGCGUGAGGGAGGAAGGCCCUUGGGUUGUAAACCUCUUUUCUCAGGGAAGAAGAAAGUGACGGUACCUGAGGAAUCAGCCUCGGCUAACUCCGUGCCAGCAGCCGCGGUAAUACGGAGGGUCCAAGCGUUGUCCGAAAUUACUGGGUGUAAAGGGUGUGCAGGCGGAACGGUAAGUCAGAGGUGAAAGCCCGCAGCUUAACUGCGGAAUGGCCUUUGAUACUGCCGUUCUUGAGUCCCGGAGAAGCUAUCGGAAUUCGUGGUGUAGCGGUGAAAUGCGUAGAUAUCACGAGGAACACCAGAAGCGUAAGCGGAUGGCUAGACGGUGACUGACGCUCAGGCACGAAAGCGUGGGGAGCAAACAGGAUUAGAUACCCGUGUAGUCC